GGGUGGGAGUGCUCAUCCAGUGGGAGCCAUGCCAGAGCACCAGCAGCAGCCAAGGAAGGGGGGAAACGGUGGGAUUUUCCCAGUGAUACAUUCACAGAGCUCAGACACUGCAGCCAGAUCACCUUCUGGGAGCUCUUGGGUGAAACAAAACCAAGCUCUGUAGCUCAGCUCUUGUGCUGGUGCUUCACGAUGGACUCUGUACAUCACAAGUGACAGAUGGACUUUUCUUUUUAAUUAGGACCUGCUGCACAGGAUGAGCUGGGAUACAAAGCAGAUUUGCCAUCUUCCUUCCUCCUGGGGGUGCCAGGGUAAUGGGCUGUCACGGGUCACGUCUCCAAACAUUUUGUGUCACCACCACAUCAGUGGAAGCCCCUGGCUGAGCUCAGCAUUCCCACAGGAAUGCUGGUCUCUGAAUCACAUCACUUCAUUACCUCCCAAAACACCCAUGAUGGAGGAACACAGGAAGAAAAGCCUUAAAUUUUCAUUUCCUGGGAAAUUGGGAAGUAGGUUUGUUAACCCCCAGAACAGCUUGUUUAAUGUUGUAACAGGAGGUAAAUCCUUCUAUUUGCUCUGCAUUAUUACAGAAGAACAUGUCAUGAUUUGUAAUCUAAAGCCUCAAUUUUGUGAGCAUUUGAUGAACACAUGGGAGGUUUAUUUGCCUGGCUGCUCUCCCUGAAUUGAAUACAUCCCAUUACACAGGUCUGAGAAGUGCAACACUGGCUUCUUUCAAUGUUCUCAGGAUAUCAGGUUUGUUUUAAUAUGAGAAGAGUCAUUAAAUAAUUAUUCAGCUUUGUCA